AUGAACGCUGGCGGCGUGCUUAAUACAUGCAAGUCGAACGGAGACUGUGUAGCAAUACUUAGUCUUAGUGGCGAACGGGUGCGUAACGCGUUGGUGACCUGCCCCGAAGAGGGGGAUAACAGUUCGAAAGGACUGCUAAUACCCCAUGUGGUCAUGGAGGUUAGAGACUCGAUGACUAAAGCACGCCCGAAAGGGCGAUGCACUUCGGGAGGGGCCUGCGUCCCAUCAGCUAGUUGGUAGGGUAACGGCCUACCAAGGCUUCGACGGGUAGGGGACCUGAGAGGGUGGUCCCCCACAUUGGCACUGAAACACGGGCCAAACACCUACGGGUGGCAGCAGUAGGGAAUAUUGGGCAAUGGGCGAAAGCCUGACCCAGCAACGCCGCGUGUGCGAUGAAGGCCUUCGGGUCGUAAAGCACUUUUCUGGGAGAUGAGAAAGGACAGUAUCCCAGGAAUAAGUCUCGGCUAACUACGU
rnacentral:rRNA from 1 species